CGGACAAUAAAUUAUUUAUUCCACCAAUAAUGCUUACAAAACCAUAGUACAAGAAAAACAAAUUGAAAGGCCUUGAAAUCAAAUCUUGGAGGCAUGGAUGAUCAACUACUCUUGCACCCAUUAAGUCUUGGCAAGUGGGACCAUCUCAAGAACACUCCAAGUUGCAAACGGUUUACAACUGAAAAUCUGAAACACAGCUUAACUUACUACAAAUAUAACAACAAUAUUGACUGUGUGCAUAAGCCAAGAAUCAUAUAUAUGAAUAUGAUGCGCUAACACUCAGGUGUUUCGGUGUGAUCUCUCUUUGGAUCCGCACAAUAGUCAUAAGCCAAGUAAUUCUUCUGAACCCAUUCCAUGGCCGAGUACUGCUGCUGGCUGAGGCCACCGGAGACAGAUGGAGAGGCUGAGGGUGGCCGGCAGGUAGCAGGAGCAUUUGCAGUGCACCCACCAAUUUUGAAAUUUUGAUACCUACCAAUGAAUGGUUGGUAACUAUAAUCUGCUUUGUAUUUUCCAUCCUCAGUGGCCCACGAUGAUGCAUCCCAUAUUGAGCCAUAAACCCACAUUGGCCUCAGUGGAAAUGUGGCAUCACUUUUUCUUGGAUACCUUCUAAUAGGAAUAUCAUCGACAAAAAAUAGGAUCUCACUGGGGGUCCACAGAAUGCCAUACUUAUGAAAAUCUUGUGUAGGAUCAAACCAAAGAUGGAUUUUCAUUUCUCUUCCAAUAAGUCUUCCAUCCCCACUUCCUCUGAUAUAGACAUUGGUCUGCAAAGUAUAAGGCUUAUCUGGAGUUGUUCCUAGGAACUCAAUAUCAAUUUCAUCAUGGUUUCCAGGAUGUUCUUCAUUGUUUGAAAGAUAGAAUGAUGUAAUGACUCCUGCAGUGUAACCAGGUUGAAGCUUGAUGGCAGCACCAAAAUAUCCUGACUGAUAUGGCUCAAGUGAUUUAUACCCACUUCCUGAGUAAGUAUCAAGCCAUAUUGUUAAUGUGCCUUGGUCUAGUCUUUGAUGCUGAGGACCCCAAAGGUUUCUAUAACCUUGAUCAAAUCCUAUAGUGCUAAUUCUGGAACUAGGGUAGUAGCCAGNNNNNNNGAGUUUGAGCAUUGUUGCUUGAAGGGAUCAUUAGAAUGAGUAGAAGAUAAAGAAGAGAAGCCAUGAAGAUAGAUAGAGAUUGAAGGACUUUUGUAGGAUGAUUAAUGG
rnacentral:misc_RNA from 1 species